rnacentral:rRNA from 1 species
UACGGAGGGUGCAAGCGUUAUCCGGAUUCACUGGGUUUAAAGGGUGCGUAGGUGGGUUGGUAAGUCAGUGGUGAAAUCUCCGAGCUUAACUCGGAAACUGCCGUUGAUACUAUCAAUCUUGAAUAUUGUGGAGGUAAGCGGAAUAUGUCAUGUAGCGGUGAAAUGCUUAGAUAUGACAUAGAACACCGAUAGCGAAGGCAGCUUGCUACACAAUUAUUGACACUGAGGCACGAAAGCGUGGGGAUCAAACAGGAUUAGAAACCCCAGUAGUCC